UAGUGGGGGACAACGUUUCGAAAGGAACGCUAAUUCCGCAUACGUCCUACGGGAGAAAGCAGGGGGACCUUUCGGGCCUUGCGCUAUCAGAUGAGCCUAGGUCGGAUUAGCUAGUUGGUGAGGUAAUGGCUCACCAAGGCGACGAUCCGUAACUGGUCUGAGAGGAUGAUCAGUCACACUGGAACUGAGACACGGUCCAGACUCCUACGGGAGGCAGCAGUGGGGAAUAUUGGACAAUGGGCGAAAGCCUGAUCCAGCCAUGCCGCGUGUGUGAAGAAGGUCUUCGGAUUGUAAAGCACUUUAAGUUGGGAGGAAGGGCAGUAAGUUAAUACCUUGCUGUUUUGACGUUACCGACAGAAUAAGCACCGGCUAACUCUGUGCCAGCAGCCGCGGUAAUACAGAGGGUGCAAGCGUUAAUCGGAAUUACUGGGCGUAAAGCGCGCGUAGGUGGUUCGUUAAGUUGGAUGUGAAAGCCCCGGGCUCAACCUGGGAACUGCAUCCAAAACUGGCGAGCUAGAGUAUGGUAGAGGGUGGUGGAAUUUCCUGUGUAGCGGUGAAAUGCGUAGAUAUAGGAAGGAACUCCAGUGGCGAAGGCGACCACCUGGACUGAUACUGACACUGAGGUGCGAAAGCGUGGGGAGCAAACUUUGUAAUAGGAUACCCUGGUAGUCCACGCCGUAAACGAUGUCAAUAUAUGCGGUGGAAUCCUUGAGAUUUUAGUGGCGCAGCUAACGCAUAAGUGACCG
rnacentral:rRNA from 1 species